GGGAGGUUAGCACAACGGUCAGGGCAGUUGCCUUAUAAGCGACAGACGCGGGUUCGACCCCCGCACCUCCCA
rnacentral:tRNA from 1 species